GAAGGUAGAGCUCAGUGGUAGAGUGUGUGCUUAGCAUGCAUGAGGUCCUGGGUUCAAUCCCCAGUCCCUCCA
rnacentral:tRNA from 1 species